UACAGAGGUCUCAAGCGUUGUUCGGAUUCAUUGGGCGUAAAGGGUGCGUAGGCGGUGAGGCAAGUUGGAUGUGGAAUCCCAGGGCUUAACCCUGGAACUGCAUUCAAUACUGCCUUGCUAGAGUACUGGAGAGGAAAUUGGAAUUCACGGUGUAGCAGUGAAAUGCGUAGAUAUCGUGAGGAAGACCAGUGGCGAAGGCGAAUCUCUGGACAGUUACUGACGCUGAGGCACGAAGGCUAGGGGAGCGAACGGG
rnacentral:rRNA from 1 species